rnacentral:tRNA from 1 species
GUACAUUAAUGUAGCCAAGCAGACGGCUCAUAACCGUCCGGUCGUAGGUUCGAGUCCUACAGGGUACA